rnacentral:rRNA from 1 species
AUGGAAUUGAGUUUGCCUCAUAUGCUUCAUCUUUUUAAUAUCUUUCAUGAGUAUGAUGGAAAGGAAAAUUGUUCCAAAGUGUUAGAAGAAGAGUGCAUUAAAAUGUUUGGCACUAAAUAUUUGAAUGAUGAGCAUGAUUGCAAUGUUGUUAGUAUGAAUUCCUUGAAUAUCCAUGAUGCUAAUGAUAUGCAAAGCCACAAGCUUGGGGAAGCUAUGUUUGAUGAAGAUGAUAUUUUUUGUCCCCCAAGUUUUGCUGAGCAAAUUUAUUAUGAUGAAAGCAUGGCUCCUAUCUAUGAUGAUUAUUGUGAUGACUUGUAUGCUAUAAAGAAUAAUGAUAUCCAUGAAACUUGUCAUCAUGAUUUUAGUUUUCAAUUGUAUUAUGCCUCACAUGAUAAUUAUUUUGUUGAGUUUGCUCCCACUAUUAUUCAUGAGAAGAAUUUUGCUUGUGUGGAGAGUAAUAAAAUUUCCAUGCUUGUAGAUCAUGAAAAGAAUGCUUUAGGUGCUGUUUAUAUUGUUGAAUAA